rnacentral:rRNA from 1 species
UACGUAGGGCGCAAGCGUUGUCCGGAAUUAUUGGGCGUAAAGAGCUCGUAGGCGGCUUGUCACGUCGGGUGUGAAAGCCCGAGGCUUAACCUCGGGUCUGCAGUCGAUACGGGCUAGCUAGAGUGUGGUAGGGGAGAUCGGAAUCCCUGGUGUAGCGGUGAAAUGCGCAGAUAUCAGGAGGAACACCGGUGGCGAAGGCGGAUCUCUGGGCCAUUACUGACGCUGAGGAGCGAAAGCGUGGGGAGCGAACAGG